rnacentral:rRNA from 1 species
GAUGAACGCUGGCAGCGUGCCUAAUACAUGCAAGUCGAGCGAACGGACGAGAAGCUUGCUUUUCUGAUGUUAGCGGCGGACGGGUGAGUAACACGUGGAUAACCUACCUAUAAGACUGGGAUAACUUCGGGAAACCGGAGCUAAUACCGGAUAAUAUUUUGAACCGCAUGGUUCAAAAGUGAAAGACGGUCUUGCUGUCACUUAUAGAUGGAUCCGCGCUGCAUUAGCUAGUUGGUAAGGUAACGGCUUACCAAGGCAACGAUGCAUAGCCGACCUGAGAGGGUGAUCGGCCACACUGGAACUGAGACACGGUCCAGACUCCUACGGGAGGCAGCAGUAGGGAAUCUUCCGCAAUGGGCGAAAGCCUGACGGAGCAACGCCGCGUGAGUGAUGAAGGUCUUCGGAUCGUAAAACUCUGUUAUUAGGGAAGAACAUAUGUGUAAGUAACUGUGCACAUCUUGACGGUACCUAAUCAGAAAGCCACGGCUAACUACGUG